AUGCUCACUUCGGCAGCACAUAUAACUAAAACUGGAAGGAUAUAGAGAAAAUUAGCACGGCCCCCGUACAAGGAUGACAAGUAAAUCUGCAAAGUAUUCCAUAUUUUU